rnacentral:rRNA from 1 species
UACGGAGGGGGCUAGCGUUGUUCGGAAUUACUGGGCGUAAAGGGCGCGUAGGCGGCGAUUCAAGUCAGGCGUGAAAGGCCUGGGCUCAACCCGGGAACUGCGUUUGAUACUGGAUUGCUGGAGUCCGGGAGAGGAUGGCGGAAUUCCCAGUGUAGAGGUGAAAUUCGUAGAUAUUGGGAAGAACACCGGUGGCGAAGGCGGCCAUCUGGACCGGAACUGACGCUGAGGCGCGAAAGCGUGGGGAGCAAACAGGG